CCUACGGGAGGCAGCAGUGAGGAAUAUUGGUCAAUGGACGCGAGUCUGAACCAGCCAAGUAGCGUGAAGGAUGACUGCCCUAUGGGUUGUAAACUUCUUUUAUAAAGGAAUAAAAUGAGGCACGUGUGCCCUUUUGCAUGUACUUUAUGAAUAAGGAUCGGCUAACUCCGUGCCAGCAGCCGCGGUAAUACGGAGGAUCCGAGCGUUAUCCGGAUUUAUUGGGUUUAAAGGGAGCGUAGAUGGGUUGUUAAGUCAGUUGUGAAAGUUUGCGGCUCAACCGUAAAAUUGCAAUUGAUACUGGCAGUCUUGAGUACAGUUGAGGUAGGCGGAAUUCGUGGUGUAGCGGUGAAAUGCUUAGAUAUCACGAAGAACUCCGAUUGCGAAGGCAGCUUACUAAACUGUGACUGACAUUGAUGCUCGAAAGUGUGGGUAUCAAACAGGAUUAGAUACCCGAGUAGUC
rnacentral:rRNA from 1 species